AGCUCCAAGAAUACGCGAAGGAGGUGGCCGGGGUCGGCGUCGGCGCCGUCCAGCGCGGGCCACGGGCCCGCUUCCAAGUGCGUCUGCACGCCGGCCACUCACGCCGGGUCCUUCAAGUGCCUCUUCCAUCGCACCAACUCCCAGGGCCACGGCCAGGGCCAGGGAAGCCGCCCUUCUUCGCCCCCUUCACCGGCCGCGGCCAACGCGGUGCCGCGACACCCGGCCUCGCCGUCCUCGUCCUCUGGCACCGUCGCGACCCAGUGA
rnacentral:rRNA from 1 species